UAAACAGUUUUGUAACACUGAAAAUCAGAGC
rnacentral:piRNA from 1 species